AAAAAGCUCGUAGUUGGAUUUCGGAACCGGCCGAUUGGUCCGUCCUCUGGAUCGUGUACUGAUCGGUCUGUUCUUCUUCGCGAAGACCGCGUGUGCUCUUAACUGAGUGGGCGUGGGAUUCGCGACGUUUACUUUGAAAAAAUUAGAGUGUUCAAAGCAGGCAGUCGCUUGAAUAUCUCAGCAUGGAAUAAUAGAAUAGGACUUUGGUCUUAUUUUGUUGGUUUCCGAGACCGAAGUAAUGAUUAAUAGGGACAGUUGGGGGCAUUCGUAUUUCAUUGUCAGAGGUGAAAUUCUUGGAUUUAUGAAAGACGAACUUCUGCGAAAGCAUUUGCCAAGGAUGUUUUCAUUAAUCAAGAACGAAAGUUGGAGGCUCGAAGACGAUCAGAUACCGUCCUAGUUCCAACCAUAAACGAUGCCGUCUGCGGAUCGGAGGUCGCUCAUGUAAGGCUCCUUCGGCACGCUAUGAGUAAUCAAAGACUUCGGGUUCCGGGGGGAGUAUGUUCGCAAGAAUGAAACUUAAAGGAAUUGACGGAAGGGCACCACCAGGAGUGGAACCUGCGGUUUAAUUUGACUCAACACGGGAAAAACUCACCA
rnacentral:rRNA from 1 species